rnacentral:ncRNA from 1 species
AUAAUAGUGAUGAUUAGGAAAAGUAGUAAUGACCGCUCCGAAAAGAGAGUCCUCUAAGCUGAGAUCAGGAUGGAAGUUAUUUACGAACACACACCUAUGAACUGUGGAGCUGAACUCAAGUAGGCUUCACCGAGUGGAUUCGUUAUCCAAGUUGACUUAGCCAACAUGAGGUCUGAUUCGUAAGGGUCAGAUAAAAUGAGGUGGAACCACGUUUAAUAGCGUCCUCUUA